UAGGGAAUAUUGGACAAUGGGGGCAACCCUGAUCCAGCCAUGCCGCGUGAGUGAAGAAGGCCCUCGGGUUGUAAAGCUCUUUUGUCCGGAAAGAAAAGCAUUCGGUGAAUACCCGGAUGUUCUGACGGUACCGGAAGAAUAAGCACCGGCUAACUUCGUGCCAGCAGCCGCGGUAAUACGAAGGGUGCAAGCGUUACUCGGAAUUACUGGGCGUAAAGCGUGCGUAGGUGGUUGUUUAAGUCUGAUGUGAAAGCCCUGGGCUCAACCUGGGAAUGGCAUUGGAAACUGGGCAGCUAGAGUGCGGUAGAGGGUAGUGGAAUUCCCGGUGUAGCAGUGAAAUGCGUAGAGAUCGGGAGGAACAUCCGUGGCGAAGGCGACUGCCUGGACCAGCACUGACACUGAGGCACGAAAGCGUGGGGAGCAAACA
rnacentral:rRNA from 1 species